GCAUUUGUCACGUUGUGAGUAGUAUGUUUGCGUGCAGCUUCCACGCCGAAGACUAAGAAAGACGUUUCUUUCCGUUAUUUCACGAUGUGACGCUCGCGUGGGUUGUCAGAUUGAGGACACAGAACAGGAACAAGUGCAACUGACAAUGGAAGAAAACAAACCUUACAAUGGUGGUACUGCGGCCCCUCUUAAAGAUGCAUCAUAUUGAUGGAUGGCAGGUUAUUUGCAACAACAAAGGACAGACUGCGAAGGAGAGAGAAACUAGUUUACUCUACGCGGUCCGCAGAUCAUUCUAGAAGAUCUGCCAAGAAUACAUGCCCUCCAUCAUUAGCUCAGGACGGACGAGAAGCGCAGAUGGUAAAGCCGCGCUACCAUAUGUCCUUCCAGGGAACCCACCUGUCUGGACAUACAGUGACACCGGGCUUUAGAUUACACUCAGAUUAGCCAUUAAGAACAUUUUCGGUUUCAUACAGACGCCUAUUGUGC